CAAAAUGUACAAUUAGUCUCUAUCUGGUUCUAAAGAAGAAUUCAGCCAUACACCAAAGAAAACAUCUCUUGAGCAUUCACUGAUUUGGGUGAGAUUGCCCAAAAUGUACUAUUAGUCUUUCUCUGGUUCUAAAGAAGAGUUCAGCCAUACACCAAAGAAAACAUCGCUUUGAGCAUUCAAAUUUUGAAUUUCACCUCUCCAUUUCCCCAAAUGUUUAGCUUUUGAAUUCCACCGAGCAAAGCAAUCCAUUGACUUUCUCAUAUCUCAUUCUUCACAGUUCACGCCAACUCAACUCAUCUGGUUUUCUCUCUACGCACAACAUCAUCUGGUUCUCUCUAUUAGAGAUGAUUAGAAGCAUGAAGCUUCAAAUCUGAUAUUAGAUCGAUCAAGCAAGUUAUCCGUGGCACUCACGGAGGUGUAGACUUCACAGUCUUAGAGGUGAGUUCUUGGCACUCACCGGAGGUGUAGAUUUCACUGUCACAGAGGUAAGGGGUUAGAUUCUGAAACUGGAAGUACUGUUGGUGGAGGAAACAUGGUUGGAAGUUUUUUCUUUAUAUAGUUCUACCCCAUAUGGCCAGCUAAAAGCUAUCAUCAUUGGUCAGGUGUUUACUUGAAUUUGUUUAAAAUUAGAUCUGUAAUUAUAGUUUUGUUUGUAUAAAUAUUUGGACGAUAAGUACACGGGUUGAAGCGAGCUGGUUUUUUAGAGGAAGGGGUGACUCAAGUUCAGAUGCGAGUUCAGAGAGUAGUGAGAGUGCCGCUGAAGAUAAUUUGUUAUUCUUUUACCAGUUGGAUUUGGCAACGCCAGCACAGGUUCAGACACGGGAAUCGCUUGUUGACCAUGAUGGAAUUAUGGGUUUCGCAUAGCCUCUUGGGAAGACGGAUUAAAUCCCAAUUUGAAUUUGAAGCCUAUAUGCCAAGCUUUUGCUGAAGAAAAGAAAAGUUAACGUUUAAAGUUUGUUUGGUCAAGAAUAUAGAUCAAGAAUUCCUGUCCAACUCUACCUAACCUAAAGAUGUUUAUUAUUAUUUAUUAAUAUUUAUUAUUAUUAUUAUUAUUA